rnacentral:tRNA from 1 species
GGCUAGUUGGCGGAGUGGUCUAAUGCGGUGGAUUGCAAAUCCAUUAUUCGUUGGUUCGAAUCCAACACUGGUCUCCA